rnacentral:piRNA from 1 species
UGCCUCGGCUCCUUUCCCGUCAACAG